UGCACGCUGCUUAGAUCCAUCUCGGACGACAUAAGAGAUGCUUGAGUCAUUAGUGUGCUACAUAAGAACACCUCCACCAAAGCUAAUUUCGUUAAUAUACAUUAAUAUUUACUUUCAAGCAUUUGGUGGGGAACAA